UCAACAGGAUACACAACGAAGUUUAACAAAAACAUGACAAAACACAAGACAACCUUCACAGGCACAGUCAGGGCGUUUCUAUACAAACUCUCACCUCUUUCAACUUCUCAAGGCCAACGUUGAUGUGUCAACUCCAGCCCACCAAGCAGAAAGAGUCAAUUCCCAACAUUCUCAGUCUCUGUCUUUCCAAAACUUGUCAGGGCCUUUUGCUGUGGAGGAUGAUUGGUCUGCGUAAAGAGAGAUAGAUGGUCUAUACAUUCUGCAGAAACUAAAACUUUACUUACCCCACUGCAUCAUCAAUUGUCACUGCACAAACGCCUGCUGUGUUUGCUGUCAACAACUCAUCCUUAGUCUUUGGCAUUGUAGAUUAGGACACCCUUCUUUUUCUAGAAUAGGCCAUUAGAGCAUCUUCUACCACUUGCUCAUGAUUCCAAUAAUGAAAAUUCUCACUGUACAUUUUGUCCUUUAGCGAACAGAAAAGGUUACCUUCUCCUAAUGCAAUUCAUGUUUCAGCUAUUCUUUUGCAUUGGUCCAUUAUGAUAUUUGGGGUUCUUUCUCUACUGCCAUGUUGAUGGUUUUAAAUACUUAUUAAUUAUUGUUGAUGAUUGUACCCAUGCUAAUUGGUCUAUUUAAUGGAGCAUUUGGGGCUUUGGGAUGGGUUAAAAUGAAUUUUCCUUCUGCCCCUCCAAAACCUACUCCUAAAAAGUUACUGGCUUUUCAGCCCUUGCGUGCUAGCGUUUUCUCUUACUAGUAAAGGGGCGGCUAGUUGUAGUGCGCAGUGUACUAGUAAAAUAGGAAAAGCGGAUUGAGAUAACCAAUAACAGAUGGAGGUUGAGAAUAGAACAUGUUCAGUGCCUUGCCCUUGUCUCCUUCGCCGGAGACUGCAAAUGAUGGGAAUCCUAUCAAUUAAGAAGAGGCAUGGGCAUCGCCUCUCGAUCCCCCCACCCCUUCUUUCUUUUUUACAAAAAUUCUGGUUGGUUUAGCAUUAUGUAAAAUUU